rnacentral:lncRNA from 1 species
CUCAGAUUCAUGGUAAAUACAUAUAAAGGAUUUACCGUGCCUUCUCAGAGGGUUGCUUUGUACAUUCGAAUCAAAGGAGGUAGGUAAGUUUCACAUCAAUCAGUAAUAUGACUGGGUAUAAUCAGGGUGGAUCAUUAUUAUCUACACAAGUAUUUCCUUGCACUCUUUUCCCCUGCUUCUUUCCCAGACCCAUAGUCAUAAACACAGUGCCUAUCAUUUGUAA